rnacentral:sRNA from 1 species
UGGAGGUUGCGGUGAGCCAAGAUCGCACAUCGCACUUCAGCCCAGGCGACAGAGCAAGACUCUCAAUCAUAAUCAAUCAGUAAAGCUGAUGAAAAUAAAAAAGCCUGCAAAUUAAUGUAGGCACCCAGGUCUCCUUAAAUUUAGAAUCCUUUCCUCAAAAGUCCCCGUUGAUACAGAAACACUUUUGAAGCCAGAUGUGAAGCACCAGUUGACCCGCAGGUGGGGGUGCCAACUGGUAGGCUGUAGGGUUAGCUCUGGCCUCUGGCAGCCAGCCAGUUGUCUCCUAAGAAAAUACUGUGGCGUGAAUGCAAAAUGUGAUUCAUCACUUGGCUCCUAAUUUCUUUUGAUUUUGUCCCCUAGAGCAAGGUCCGUGGUCCUGUCAGUGGAAGUCCGGAUAGCAUGAAUGCCUCUCGACUUAGCCAGCCUGGGCAGCUGAUGUCUCAGCCCUCCACGGCCUCCAACAGCUUACCUGAGCCAGCCAAAAAGAGUGAAGAACUGGUGGCUGAAGCACAUAACCUGUGCACCCUGCUAGAAAAUGCCAUACAGGACACCGUGAGGGAACAAGACCAGAGUUUCACGGCCCUAGACUGGAGCUGGUUACAGAUGGAAGAAGAAGAGCACAGCUGCCUGGAGCAGGCCUCAUGAUGUGGGGGGACUCGACCCCCUGACAUGGGGCAGCCCAUAGCAGGCCUUGUGCAGUGGGGGGACUCAACCCCCUGACAUGGGGCUGCCUGGAGCAGGCCGCGUGACGUGGGGCUGCCUGGCCGCGGCUCUCACAUGGUAGUUCCUGCUGCACUGAUGGCCCAGCGGUCUCUGGUAUCCAGAUGGAGCUCUCGCUUCCUCAGCAGCUGUGACUUUCACCCAGGACCCAGGACGCAGCCCUCCGUGGGCACUGCCGGCGCCUUGUCUGCACACUGGAGGUCCUCCAUUACAGAGGCCCAGCGCACAUCGCUGGCCCCACGAGCGUUCAGGGGUACAGCCACGGCAGCUCCUUCCUCUGCCGUGAGAAAAGUGCUUGGAGUACGGUUUGCCACACACGUGACUGGACAGUGUCCAAUUCAAAUCUUUCAGGGCAGAGUCCGAGCAGCGCUUGGUGACAGCCUGUCCUCUCCUGCUCUCCAAAGGCCCUGCUCCCUGUCCUCUCUCACUUUACAGCUUGUGUUUCUUCUGGAUUCAGCUUCUCCUAAACAGACAGUUUAAUUAUAGUUGCGGCCUGGCCCCAUCCUCACUUCCUCUUUUUAUUUCACUGCUGCUAAAAUUGUGUUUUUACCUACUACUUUGGUGGUUGUCCUCUUUUCGGCAAAGUUGGAGCGAGUGCCAAGCUCUCCAUCUGUGGUCCUUUCUGCCAAGAGCGACUCAUAGUAACCAGGAUGGGAGAGCAGCUGCCUUAUUCUGAAUCCCAAAAAUUACUUGGGGGUGAUUGUCACAGAGGAGGGACAGAAAGGGUAUCUGCUGACCACCAGCCUGCCUACCCAUGCCCAUGUCGCCAUUCCUGCUCAAGCGUGUGUGCUGGGCCGGGGAGUCCCUGUCUCUCACAGCAUCUAGCAGUAUUAUUAAAUGGACUCAUUUUUAAAA